GGUAUCUGUAGCGCCACAACAGCGAUUACAGGCAGUUCAAUGGCUUACAUUGUCAUGGCAGAAAUAAACAGCACAUUUUUUGUAAUGAGAAAAAUAACAGACUGGGAACACAUGCUAUAUACAGGCUAGCUUUGUAUGACUGUUGCGGUGGGUCCCGAUGGGGUGUCGAGCUUGAGACAGUAAACAUACAGUGGUACUAGAGAUUGGAGUAGUCAAGUGCUUAGAGAGUGGGUUCAGGUUAAAUUCGUAGUCAUAUUGAAUAAGCACGGUUGCAGUUAGCAGUAACUUGGU